rnacentral:lncRNA from 1 species
GCAUUGCUCUCCUGCGCACACUGCCAGUGUACAGCCAGGGAAGCAGCUGCUGCAGCAGCUCAGAGCAGAAGGCCACGGUUGUUCACUCAUCCAAUGCAGCUGCAAAGGAGCCUCCAUUUUUUCGGGGAACUCCAGGCCUCUGGGUGGCUGCCACAGCUUGCACCACGGCUUCUCCUUGGGCCAGACCUCAGAAAAGAGACACUGGUCCUCGCAGAGAGCUGUCGCCUGCUGGAAAAGCAAGACCAGGUUGUUGAGCAAAAGCUAUAGCAGCAAAUCCUCGUCUUGUGUGCUUGCAAGAUGCUGGCAAUGCAUCAGGAAAUAGGCUGCCUGUGCCGCCAGCAAGACAAAAGAACUCUGCAGGAACUGAUGGUUGAGGAGCAGCUGAAGAAAGAGUGGGAGGCAAAGUACAUGUGGGCCCCGUGCAAGGCUCAUGGCAAAAGGGAUGGAAGAGAGAGGGCCUGGCAGAAGAUGCAGGCGGAAAUGCAGAGGCUGCAGAGGGGGUGUGCUUCCUCCAUGGCACUCAUGGACCUGAAGAACGCUCUGCAGCUGGUACCAGUGGAGAUGAAGCAUCAGCAUGUCCUCAUCCCUCUCCCUCCAGCGAAGAAGGCUGAGGCAGCUCCCCUCAGCAAAUCAAGUGCCAGCUACCAAUUAGUAUGGAGUGUGCAGGCGGGGAAAGUGAUGGAGAAGAGAAAGGAGGCCUGGAAAAUCACUGGGCUGCGGCGCACUGCCUCUGUCUUGCUUCCGCGAUUGCGCUCUACACACAUUUCUAAUUUCAUUUCAUUAAGAUGUAAUAUUUAUCUUUAUUUCAAUAAUUUUUAUCUUUAUUUCAUUAAGAUUUAAUAAACAAAUAAACGGCUGUUCUACAGUUUUCUUUCCA